GUAGGUGGCGAGCGUUAUCCGGAUUUACUGGGUGUAAAGGGUGAGUAGGCGGGAAGUCAAGUCAGAUGUGAAAUGCCGCGGCUUAACUGCGGAACUGCAUUUGAAACUGAUUUUCUUGAGAGUCGGAGAGGCAAUCGGAAUUCCUAGUGUAGCGGUGAAAUGCGUAGAUAUUAGGAGGAACACCAGUGGCGAAGGCGGAUUGCUGGACGACAACUGACGCUGAGACACGAAAGCGUGGGGAGCAAACAGGAUUAGAUACCCUGGUAGUCCACGCUGUAAACGAUGAAUGCUAGGUGUAGGUGCGCAAGCAUCUGUGCCGGAGUAAACACAAUAAGCAUUCCACCUGGGGAGUACGGCCGCAAGGUUG
rnacentral:rRNA from 1 species